AUGAGAAGACCCUGUGGAAUAUAAAAAUCAGUGGCCACCACACACAAGUUCAACCCCACCGGUUUCACUAUCCGCCCCCCCACCCCCCCACCCCAAAAUGCAGGCCUGCAUUUUUGGUUGGGGUGACCUUGGAGAAAAACAAAUCCUCCAAAAAUAAGAUCACACCUCUUAAAGAAUAAGCCCUCAAAGUACAAAUAGUGAUCAUAACAAUAUAGUUGACCAAUGGACGGAGCUACCCAGGGAUAAACAGCACAAUCUCCUCAAAAGCCCAUAUAGAAAAGAAAGUUUAUGACUUUGAUGUUAUAUCAGGACAUCCUAAAGGUACAGCUGCUAUUAAGGGUUCGUUUCUUCAACGAUUAACAGUCCUACAUGAGCUGAGUUCAGACCGGAGCAAUCCAUAUUGUUUUCUAU
rnacentral:ncRNA from 1 species